rnacentral:rRNA from 1 species
UACAGAGGUCUCAAGCGUUGUUCGGAUUCAUUGGGCGUAAAGGGUGCGUAGGCGGCGCGGUAAGUCGGGUGUGAAAUCUCGGGGCUUAACUCCGAAACUGCAUUCGAUACUGCCGUGCUUGAGGACUGGAGAGGAGACUGGAAUUUACGGUGUAGCGGUGAAAUGCGUAGGUAUCGUAAGGAAGACCAGUGGCGAAGGCGGGUCUCUGGACAGUUCCUGACGCUGAGACGCGAAAGCGUGGGGAGCAAACAGG